UACGGGGGGGGCCAGCGUUGUUCGGAAUUACUGGGCGUAAAGGGCUCGUAGGCGGCCAACUAAGUCAGACGUGAAAUCCCUCGGCUUAACCGGGGAACUGCGUCUGAUACUGGAUGGCUUGAGUUUGGGAGAGGGAUGCGGAAUUCCAGGUGUAGCGGUGAAACGCGUAGAUAUCUGGAGGAACACCGGUGGCGAAGGCGGAUCUCUGGGCCUUGCCUGACGCUGAGGCGCGAAAGCGUGGGGAGCGAACAGG
rnacentral:rRNA from 1 species